rnacentral:rRNA from 1 species
GACAGAGGUGCCGAGCGUUAGGCGGAAUCACUGGGCUUAAAGCGUGUGUAGGCGGGCGGGCAAGUACCUUGUGAAAUCCCACGGCUCAACCGUGGAACUGCUGGGUAUACUGGGUGUCUUGGGUCAUCUAGGGGCUGCCGGAACAAAUGGUGGAGCGGUGAAAUGCGUAGAUAUCAUUUGGAACGCCAACGGCGAAAGCAGGCAGCUGGGGAUGCACCGACGCUGAGACACGAAAGCCAGGGGAGCGAACGGG